ensembl:lncRNA
UCCUCGCCUGUUUGGUUGGCUUCUUUGAGAUGCCCUCCAGAUCCCUGGCCUUUCGCCCACAGUUCCCACAGCCAGAGCAGCGCCGAGCACUUCUGUAAAGGGAGGCUGUGCAUCGUGUGGCUGGUGGACACACGCGAGAGGAUGAGAGGCAGCGAAGAGGAGCUCCCAGCUUACACUGGGGCAUUGCAAAGACUUCUAAAACAGCGGUCCUCAACCCUGUUGGUGCCAGGAACCAGUUUCGUGGAAGACAGCUUUUCCACAGUCCUAACAGAUUCAAUCCAAUGGAAAAUGCUGGGAAAUGGCUUCCUACAAAGGUGGGAGCUCUCUACUAAGAGACAAAAAUCUGUGUCACCCUGCACCACGG